GGCAACUAGUGAUGGGAAAAGAGGAGGAGGAAAAGGAAACAGUGCUUGGUUAGGUGCGGGAAUGGUCCAUCUGUACAUGCACAGACCACUGCAGUUUGCCCACUUCUGUUUUCCCUGAGAAUCAUCACCAUCACAACAACGAAAUCAACAACAGAUGAGUUCCAGCAGAAGCCUGAAUAUUAAUGUGCACCACUGCCGAACUAAAUCAUCAAGUCAUAGGAGAGAAAAAAUGCAAUAAUUAAACAGAAACGUUAUAUCUUU